rnacentral:lncRNA from 1 species
CACCUACUACUUUUUCUCAUAAAUGUGACACAUUUUAGCAGUGAAAAAUUAAGUGUGUCUUAAAUGUUUGUUGAAUGAGUGAGUGAACGAAAGGACGAAAAUUCAGGAGAGCAAAGUUCAAGAGAAAAGAAAAUUUUAAGGCAUUGUCAAAUUCUCCGCAGAGAUUACAGAGGAUGACAUAUGAGAAAACGUCAUUGGAUUUAGCAAGAAGUAGGUCAUUGGCAAAAUUUAGGGACACCUCAGUGUGGUAGUAACAGAACCUAAAUAGAAGGGAUUUAAGGCAAGAAUGAGUGGAUGGGAAGUUUGCAGCUGCAAAUGAAAACUAUUUAUUUAAAAGAAUUGUUAGUAAACUAAAUGUGAGAAAGAGUUCAGUUGCUAAAAGGAAAGCAAGUUGUGUGUGUGUGUGUGUGUGUGUGUGUGUGUGUGUGUGUGGCUUUUCAAAGAGAAACAAACCUGCUUGGAGAUAACAGAGAAACAAAUAUUGAUGGGUAAAACAAUAAAACUGAUAAUUUGAGAUUAAGGGUGGUUCUAUUUAUGGUAGGUUUAAGUCUAUGAUGGUUGAUCAUUGGAGACAAAUCCUGGAAGGAGGGAAGAAUUAUGUGCCAUGCAAGCUUAAAAAGGAAAUGUUCAUGGAGGUGAUAGAGUUACAAUUUCCUUAGUUCCUGUCUUGCUGUAGCAAAGCAUUGGAACAGUGGACGUUUUAAAAAUUUAUUAAAGCAAAAGUACAUUUACAGAGAGAGACUGAGAACUCACGUGCUCACGGGUUAAAAAGAGAGCCUGACUCACUCUGCAAUUGUUUUUAUACCACAUAAUGAGGAUCUGAGUGGAGACCCAAUUUCUCCUGCUGUGCACAAGGGCUGAGUGUUGUUUGAUCUCUGUAUGGGACACAUUUGAUCCAAAUGGUUUUGGGCAGGGCAGCUAAUUUACGUGGGGAACAGGUUAUAUAGAGGUGGGGUGAGGAAAGAGUGACUGCCCUACCAGGCUCUUCAAGGUGGGGGAAGGGGCAUUACAAAGAGAUAUGUGGCUUUUGAAGGAGACUUGAAGCCUAUAACAGAGGUUUAGCAUCCCAACCAGGUGGUGCCAUCAGGAGGCCUUCUAGCAUGCUAUCACCAGAGUAAAUUUGCUAGGGACCAGGUACUAAGCAGGUCCAGACAUGCCAACUUCCCAAUUUCAUUAGUCUUAGGCUGUGCCCCAUCGGUUCACUGGAAUUACUUUUGAGACAGUCGUAAGUAAUGUGGAAGAUCCUAACCUAUCUCUUGGCCUUCUUAGUUGUAUACCAAAUUGCAACUAGAACCCCCAUUUUGGUGUCCCACAAAUAUUUCAAAAUUAACAUGCCACAAACUGGGCUUACCAUCCUUUUAUAUGAGCUCCUCAUCUGAAUUCCCAAUAUUAGACACUAUACUCAUCAUUUCCUAUCCAUUAGACAAAGUCUAGAAUCAUCUUAGAAUCCUCUUUCUUCCUUUUCCCUCUUAUAAUCUAAUCAAGCUCUUAAGUCAUUUUUAGUCUGGGGGAAUAGAGGUCUACCUCGACUCCACCCCUCUUACCCAAAGAGAGAGAGGAGAUGAUAAUCUGAUUGUUGGCUCCCAAGACACAGAUCUAGUUAGGCUGAGUGGUGACUGUAAUGAAAGUGUGUUGAGAGGAUAUACAACUAGGUGUUGUUUCAUUCUUUUCUCUCUAUUCCAAGCAAGCAGCCAAAGUUGUAAGCAACUGUAGUCCUAAUCUUUUCGACCUUCUCUCCUGUUUUUAAUUGCAUAUGACUAGUAAGAGUAUAUUAAAGCUAUGUCUAGGCUUUUAGGCCUCUGCCCAUGUUCAUUGUUUGGAACUUAAAAGUUUUGUUAACAGCAGUUUUUUCCUACACCUGAUGAAUUCCCUUAUUUGGUAAGUCUUUAGUGAUUUUUCUAUGGUCUCCGUCUACACAUAUUUCUACCUCCUUAAAACCUUCUCUGACCUUCCCUUCCCAAGGAAAGUUUGUGCUUGCUCUUGGACUACCUGCUCUUCUGGGCUUGUGUUGUGUUAUGUUUAUAUGUAUAAUACAUCUAUUAUUAUAGUCAAUAUCUUUUUUCUGACAAGUCUCUAAUUUUUUAAUUCCUAGUAGACUGAAUCACUUUGUAACUCCAGUGCUUAAUGUAGUGCUGGCAUAUGGUAAGCAUGUGGAGAAUAUUUGCUGGAUGGCACAGCAUAACGCUUCGUAUGUAGCAGGAGUGUAAUGUAUGCUAGUUCCUUUCACCCUCAUUAGCUUUACCAUCUAUUCUCCAUUCUUACCUCCUGAUUCCAUGAAAUGCAGUUGUGGGUCAAAAAGUGAUAUUGCUUAGGGAACUUUUAGCUCCCUUAUUUUGUAUCAAAGUUCUUGAAGCCAAAAUAGUAUGUGCAUGUUGCAGACUUGACCUCAUCACAUCUCAAAUAAAUACCUACAUCUUAAAUUAGAGAAAUGCAUCAAUAUUACCUUUUUCUUGAAAGGCUUGCUUUCCUGAUUCCAAAAGACCAUAUAAUCCUGGUUUUCCUCCUCUGUUCCUUCUUAGUUUAUUCACUCAACAAAUAUUUAUUGAGCAACCUUCAUAUAUUAGUUACUAUUUUAGGCACUGAGUAGUGAACAAAAUUUUUUAAAUUCUUCAUGCUGCUUAUCUUCUAGUGGAAGAAAUAUGCAUCAGGCAAGGUAAACAAGUAAAGCAUAUUGUAUGUUAGAUAAUGAUAAGUAUAAAGAAAAACAAUAGGGAGUUCCCAUCAUGGCUCAGUGGUUAACAAA